rnacentral:lncRNA from 10 species
GCAUCAUUGUCUUUAGGGCUUUUUCUGCACAGAGAUCAGGAUAAGAAAAGGAAAAACAUCCCAAGGCCUAACAGUGAAGGCAUCUGUUGCUGACCACACUGAGGGCUGUGGCUUCUCUUCAGACCUGGACUGGUGAGGUCUGCAGGCCUCUGGGCUGAGCCCGACUCCUCUUCAGCCUCAUUAACCCAGAAAGGGGUCUGGAGAGGUGAAUUUAGGCAGAUUCCAACGAGCAAGAACUGAUCAUCGUUCCUGCUUACCGCUGGUUGUUCUGGACAAGAAGUGAUAGGCAUUCUGUGAGCUGCCGUGAACCAUGAGCACACAAACACAGCCCCUGCCCUAGAGGAGCUUACAGUUUAAGUGAAAAAGGUGACGAGAACCCCAAGGCUCAGCAGGGGAAAGAGAUUUGCAAAGAUGGCCAACAGAAGACAGUCCAGGAUGCUCACAACUCCCUGGGGUGAACGUUACCCCUGCCAAUGUCACACUUCCCCAAGGAGAGAAUACACCCCUGCCCCAGCAGUUCAGGCACAGCUGUCCUGUCUCAUUCUUACAGAACAGAGGGUCUGCAGGCAUCUCAGUAAGAUACUAAAGCAAUUUGUUUUAUUUGUCCAAGGGAAUACUGCCCUUAUUUGACUGAAUAAGCAUAAAUAGCCAGGGAGGGGUCUGUUUGUGGCGUCACCAUCUGCACCAGCAGAAGAGCCCUCACACAUUGUCUCUUUCCCAGCAGCUGCAGUUCUCCUAAAGAAGUCAGAUCAAGUUCAGGUUUAAAAUAAGUAAUCUGGAUUUGCAAGGUGCCAUGAGGAUGGCAGUGCCACUAUACCAAUUCCCCAGGGAACUAUUCCCAGGGCUCCAGGCCCCAUGGUUUGACUUCUCUUCUCUGGCAUGAGAAAUCAGUGUAUUCUCACAUUGUCUCCUGAGAUUCAGAUCCUCUGCCAAACGAUGGAUCUGAAACCACUCUCAUCUCUACCUCCAUGCUUCAACACCUCCAUCUGCUCCAGAGUGGACUACUUGGGACAGAUACAUAAAAAUAAAAGACAGUGUUUCAGGGAAAGGGAAGAAGUGUGGACCUUUGGUGGAUACCCAUUCUACUUCAUUGGAUCAUCCUGAUAACUCAAUAUGCUCAGUGUUAUUAUCACAUUGUGUAGAUGAGGCUGAGAACAUGCGCUUGUCUGUGGUCACACUACUGUGCAGUGAUGGAGUUGGAAUACCAGCUCAUUUGUCAAAGCCUGGGUUCCCCUCAAAGCUUCUUAAACUUUGGCAGGACUAAAAUACUCCUAAUGCAAGAGAUGGGUAAAUGCACACUCCCGGGUGAGCUUGGGGCUCAGUAUACACAGUCCGUGGUGUUCAGUCAGCAUGGAACAUUGUUCCUGGCCUUUCACUGAGAAGACUCUCAUUGGUCCUUCCCUCAGCCAGUCAUUUCCUCCAGGAAGCUAUUUCUGAGCUCCCCGGUCUAGGCUCCGUUGCCAACCCCCGAGGUGCUCCAAUAUUGCAUAUUCUGUGAGGGCACUCAGCUUGUGUUGUGUUGCUUAAUUAUUUGUCGGUGUGGCCUCAGGAGGUCAGGGACCACAUCUGCCUUGUGUCUUCCUAUAGGUACCCCCAGCAGCCAGCACACUGCUCAGCACAGUAUAACUGCCCAAUGAAUAGCUGUUGAGUAAACAUUGACUCCAGCUAAAGCUUCUAUCUCAUGUGUAAAUUGCCUCUCGAACAGAUCUGUUAGUUAUAAUCCAGCCUCUUCAAACACAGCACCAACAACAGAAAAUUCAGAAAAUGAAGAGGCAAAGACUGGAUGCAGUGGCUCAUGCCUUUAAUCCCAGCCAUCUGGGAGGCCAAGGCAGGAGGAUUGCUUAAGCCUGGGAGUCAGAGACCAGCCUGGAAAACAAAGCGAGACCCUGUCUCUACAAAAAAAAAAAUUUUAAUUAGCCAGGUGUGAUGGCAUACACCAGUUAAAAUGGGAGGAUCACUUGAACCUGGGAGGUCGAGGCUACACGAGCAGUGAUGGCACUGCUGCACUCCAGCCUGGGCAACAAGUCAACCCUGCUCAAAAAAAAAAGAGAGAGGCAAACCCUUCUAUGUUCAUCCCACACCAUACCCAUUCUACUCCAUAUUCUUUGUUGAUUGUUUGGGUUUCGUUUUGUUUUGUUUUUUGAGACAGGGUCUCACUCAGUUGCCCAGGCUGGAGUGCAGUGGCACAAAUACAGCUCACUGCAGCCUCAUCCUCCUGGGUUCAAGGGAUUCUCCCACUUCAGUCUCUUGAGUAGCUGGAACUACAGGUGCAUGCCACCAUGCCCAGCUAAUUUAAACAAUUUUUUGUAAAAACGGGGCUCUCACUAUGUUGCCCAGACUGGUCUUGAACUCCUGGCCUCAAGCUAUCCUCCCGCCUCAGUGUCCCAAAGUGCUGGGAUUAUAGACAUGAGACAUCAUGCCAGCCUACGGCAUAUUCUCUGUAUUCCAGGCACACUGGCCCUCCUUGAGUUCCUUAAAUGCUCUAUGAUCCCUCCACCGCAUGGCUUUUGCACACCCCAUUCCCUCUAAUCCCCACUCUUGCUCUUUCUCCAGAUCUCAGCUCAGUCCCAGUUCAUGUUCUUGGGGCACCAUUUGGCUCUCUCUCAUACCUUUAAGCACAUGGUUUGUGUCUGAUUGCAUGUCUUGCACUGCGAAGGCAGGUGUGAGGUUUUUUUGGUCUUUGUUUACCCUCGUGUCUCCAGCAUCUAGUGGCUGGCAUAGUGUACAAGCUCAGUACACUGUGCCUGAACAAUGAAGUGAUGUUUAAAUGGAGGUCUGUGCAGGUGGAGUAUUCUAAGCAGGAGAAACAGGUAGAGCAAAGCCCUGAGGAAAGAGAUAUCAAGUUGCAUUUAAGACUGAACGAAGCCCACUGUAGCUGAGCCAUAGAGAAUGAGGGGGAAGAGCGCAUCAUGGUAAGGCUCUAGAGAGGUAGGCAGAGCCUCACAGGGUCUUAAAAGUGAGUUAAGACCUUUGACUUGCCACCAUCGGGUUUUAAGCAGGGUGGUAAUUCUCCCGUUCUGCACAGGACCUCUACUAAUGCCACCCCAUGAGGGAAGGUGGUCUUUUAAACCAGAGGUCAGCAUAUUGCAUGCAUGCACAUUAAAUGUCAUCAUAGUUAGCUGAGUCUAUUGUUCUAACCUUCUGAGAUCAUUUUGAGCCUUCUUUGUGCCUUCUAGCUUGGCAUCAUCAGCAAUUUGUGGUAAUAGAAGGGGGCCCGCCUAUCAAGAAAUAUCAGAGAAAACAAAGGCAGUACAGUUCCACGGGGCUCCAACCACAACACAAGUCCUAGCUCCUGUGGCAUUGGGAAUUCCAGCCAUGGAUGUCUGGGACUAUAACCCGGAUCUCUAAUAGACUACAAGUUCAGCAGUGUCAUCCUUGCAUACUCUAACGUUUUAUGUACAUAUCCUUUUUUUUUUAUUUUUUAAUUUCCCUUUUUCCUCUUUAAGCCCUCCCUAAUAAAGGACGUGGAGAGGAAGAGUUCCUUGCUUACUUCAACCAUAUAAACUGGAUUUUUCUUUUCUUUUCUUUUUUUGAGACAAGGUCACUCUGUCACCCAGGCUAAAGUACAGUGGCACAAUCAUAGCUCACUGCAGCCUCAACUUUCUAGCUUCCUAUCCUCCUGCCUCAGCCUCCCAAGUAGCUGGGAUUACAGGCACAUGCAACUGGACCUGGCUUUAUUUUUUUUGUAGAGACAGGGUCUUGCUAUGUUGCCCAGGCUGGUCUUGAACCCCUGGGCUCCAAUAAUCCUUCCACUUCUGCCUCUCGAAGUGCUGGAAUUAUAGUCAGGGGCACCAUGCCCAGCCUAUAAAUUGGAUUUCUUUUUUCCCUGAAGAAAUUUUUAUUGUUUUCUUCCUGCUGUCUGAUGUGUUUUAAUAAAUAGAAUGUUUGUCUUUUGUUUGCAUAUAUUCCAAG